GACGAACGCUGGCGGCGCGCUUAACACAUGCAAGUCGAACGGAGUUAGUAUUUAUAUUAACUUAGUGGCGGACGGGUGAGUAACACGUAGGUAAUCUACCUCAUAGAUGGGAAUAACACACAGAAAUGUGUGCUAAUACCGAAUGAAAUUAUAAGUCUGCAUGGACUAAUAAUCAAAGGAGCAAUCCGCUAUGAGAUGAGCCUGCGGCUGAUUAGCUAGUUGGAGGGGUAACGGCCCACCAAGGCGACGAUCAGUAGCCGGACUGAGAGGUUGACCGGCCACAUUGGGACUGAGACACGGCCCAGACUCCUACGGGAGGCAGCAGUGGGGAAUAUUGCACAAUGGGGGAAACCCUGAUGCAGCGACGCCGCGUGAAGGAAGAAGGUCUUCGGAUUGUAAACUUCUGUCGACAGGGAAGAGAGAGGACAGUACCUGUGGAGGAAGCCACGGCUAACUACGUGCCAG
rnacentral:rRNA from 1 species